UACGUAGGGACCAAGCGUUGUUCGGAUUUACUGGGCGUAAAGGGCGCGUAGGCGGCCUUGCAAGUCACUUGUGAAAUCUCCGGGCUUAACUCGGAACUGCCAAGUGAAACUGCUGGGCUAGAGUGCAGAAGGGGCAAUCGGAAUUCUUGGUGUAGCGGUGAAAUGCGUAGAUAUCAAGAGGAACACCUGAGGUGAAGACGGGUUGCUGGGCUGACACUGACGCUGAGGCGCGAAAGCCAGGGGAGCAAACGGG
rnacentral:rRNA from 1 species